rnacentral:rRNA from 1 species
AGGUAGAGGGUGUAGGGAGGGGCGGUCAUCAGUGGGGUGGGAGGGUGGUACGGAAAGAGGUGGAGUGAAGGGCUCGUAGGCGCGCGGUCGCGUCGGAGGUGAAAAUGCAGGACUUAAGACUGAGCCUGCUUGCGAGACGGGGAGACUAGAGGUAUGCAGGGGAGAACGGACUUCGUGGUGUAGCGGUGAAAUGCGCAGAUAUCAGGAGGAACACCGGUGGCGAAGGCGGUGCUCUGGGCAUUACCUGACGCUGAGGAGCGAAAGUGUGGGGAGCGAACAGGAUUAGAUACCCGGGUAGUC